AGAUUGAACGCUGGCGGUAGGCCUAACACAUGCAAGUCGAGCGCGAAAGUACCUUCGGGUGCGAGUAGAGCGGCGGACGGGUGCGUAACGCGUAGGAAUCUGCCUGGUAGUGGGGGAUAACUCGGGGAAACUCGAGCUAAUACCGCAUACGCCCCAUGGGGGAAAGCGGGGGACCUUCGGGCCUGGCGCUAUCAGAUGAGCCUGCGUCGGAUUAGCUAGUUGGUAGGGUAAUGGCCUACAAGGCGACGAUCCGUAGCUGGUCUGAGAGGAUGAUCAGCCACACUGGGACUGAGACACGGCCCAGACUCCUACGGGAGGCAGCAGUGGGGAAUAUUGGACAAGUGGGGGCAACCCUGAUCCAGCCAUACCGCGUGUGUGAAGAAGGCCUUAGGGUUAGUAAAGCACUUUUCGAGGUUGGGAAGGUAAAAGUUGACCGGACGAAGUACCCGGUAACCGUGACGCGUACCUGACAAGAAGAAGCACCGGCAAACCGUCCG
rnacentral:rRNA from 1 species